CUCCCAUAUCCUCCCAUAUUAUCCUCUCAUAUCAUUUCCCCUUAGGUACAACAAAGAUCCUGAAUGUUUUGCUAAAAACUAUUAUAAUGUUAUCUUCAAGAAAUGCCGUCACCCUUAAACAUCUGCAGCUCCUUUAUUUACCCUCAGACUUCUUUAGCAAGCUGACAGUGCUUUGAAUCUUAGUAGAUUCUUCUCAACAAAGGAGAAAUACCAAGGCAAUAUGCCUAUAGCCAGACCUCACUUGAGCUCCCCGAUAGGGCCAAUGGAAAGAUUCAAAGUCAAGAAGAGGCAUCUGGAUCCUCAACUGUUUUUCAGGUCUACAAAGUUUAAAGAGUAUCUCAUAUCCUAGGUGUCCUUUGCUCCCACUUUUUUUUUUUUUUAUUUUUUAUUUUUCCCAUGAAAUUCAUUUUAGUUUGGGGUAGGAGGGGGAAAAAAUGAGCACCUUGGAGAGACAGUUGCCAAUGGAGAUCUCCUGUACUGGGUUUUGUCAGCUGGAAUCAAAUUGCACAUCUAGCAAGGCUGUCACUCAAAGGUGACUCAUUUGUAUGACAGCAUGAACUGAACCAUGCCUUUUCCGUGCUGCACGGUAAAUGUUAUGUAAACACUGAGGAUGUCUUCAUGCAUGGAUUAGGAGGAGGAUUGCACAAGUUUUCAAGGUACUGUGCUGCUUCAUUUGGGAGAACUCAUCAAGGCGCAGGGCGAGCUGCAUGUGGUUACUGUCUUGCCGGGAUGUGCUAAACUGUGAGUGGUAUCAUGGGGCUGUGGCACAUAUCCACACCCCGUUCACAACUGCACCCAACUGCUCCGAGUAGCAGCAAAGAAAAACAAACAAACCUGGGACAUCCCAUUAUGUGGGCUGGAGGAGUGCGUUUCGACCAGUGAAGCAAUUUUCCUAAAGGAACACAAGGACCUCACUGCUCAGUUCAGGGGCAGACAGUGCUGGUGGAACAGGACCAGGACUCCUCUCCAUGCCUGGGAUGCCCCAAGCCUAAUUUAUUACCUGUCAUCCAAAAAAAAAAAAAAAAAAGGCAAAAACAGUGCUUUUUUUUUUUUUUUUUUUUUUUUCCCUAAGCUUUUAAAUGGCCCUUAUUGGUCCACCAGACUGUUUCCUAGACCUCAAGAAUUUAUCUUUAAAAAACCUCGAUAAGCUUUUUAAAGUAUUAUAUGUAUAUAAACGUAUAUGUACAUGGAAGAGGGUUGUUUUUGGUUGGUUGGUUUUUUAAUAGCUGGAGUACAGAGAAAGACUAAAAUCCU
rnacentral:lncRNA from 1 species